ACUUCAGAGUCUGAAGCCACACUAUCAGCAGACGAGCCAUGAUGGAGUUUGUUCACGUUGCUGUAACUGUGCUCUGUCUUCUGUCUCUUGGACACUCAGCUCCUGUGACAAGCUGUGAGAAUCUAAUCCAGCCUCGUGAAAUCCACGGAAAUCAGCUGGUGGGAAAAUGGACACACAUAGCAGUGAGCUUAGACAUACCUGGAUUCAACAUGCUGACGAAGAUGCCUCUGGAGACCGCCUGGAUGAACAUCACUGCUGCCAA